rnacentral:rRNA from 1 species
CCUACGGGGCGCAGCAGUGAGGAAUAUUGGUCAAUGGGCUUACGCCUGAACCAGCCAAGUCGCGGGAGGGAAGACUGCCCUAUGGGUUGUAAACCUCUUUUGUCAGGGAGCAACGCCGGCUACGUGUAGCCGGACUGAGAGUACCUGAAGAAAAAGCAUCGGCUAACUCCGUGCCAGCAGCCGCGGUAAUACGUAGGGGGCGAGCGUUAUCCGGAUUCAUUGGGCGUAAAGCGCGCGUAGGCGGCCUGUUAGGUCGGGGGUCAAAUACCGGGGCUCAACCCCGGUCCGCCCCCGAUACCGGCAGG